rnacentral:rRNA from 1 species
UACGUAGGGUGCGAGCGUUAAUCGGAAUUACUGGGCGUAAAGCGUGCGCUGGCGGUUCGCCAAGUCAGGUGUGAAAUCCCCGGGCUUAACCUGGGAAUUGCGCUUGAAACUAGCGGGCUUGAGUGUGGCAGAGGGGGGUGGAAUUCCACGUGUAGCAGUGAAAUGCGUAGAUAUUGGGAGGAACACCAGUGGCGAAGGCGGCUCACUGGACCGGUUCUGACGCUGAGGCGCGAAAGCGUGGGGAGCAAACGGG